UACGAAGGGGGCUAGCGUUGCUCGGAAUCACUGGGCGUAAAGGGUGCGUAGGCGGGUUUUUAAGUCAGGGGUGAAAUCCUGGAGCUCAACUCCAGAACUGCCUUUGAUACUGAAAAUCUUGAGUCCGGGAGAGGUGAGUGGAACUGCGAGUGUAGAGGUGAAAUUCGUAGAUAUUCGCAAGAACACCAGUGGCGAAGGCGGCUCACUGGCCCAUUACUGACGCUGAGGAGCGAAAGCGUGGGGAGCGAACAGG
rnacentral:rRNA from 1 species